GGAAAUGUUGCAGCUCAGUGGUAAAGCCAUUUGCUUUUGCAUGCAGAGUGCCCCAGGUUCAGCCCCUGGCAUCUCCA